AAGACUAUACUUUCAGAGAUCAUUUCUGUAGUUGUUGACUUGAGAAAUGUGUUUCUGAAGAGUUUGGUCUUGCUGUCCAUGAUGAAGAGUUGCGAUGUUUCCUUCAGAGCAGGAAACUGUUGAAAAGGCUAUUCAGAGUUUCUCAAAAACACUCUAAUGGAGGUAACAUAACCGGAGUGGA
rnacentral:snoRNA from 1 species